GACGAACCGUGCAAACGUUGUUCGGAUUCAUUGGGCGUAAAGGGUGCGUAGGCGGUCGCGCAAGUCGGAUGUGAAAUCUCAGGGCUCAACCCUGAAACUGCAUUCGAUACUGCGUGGCUAGAGUGCUGGAGAGGAGACUGGAAUUUACGGUGUAGCAGUGAAAUGCGUAGAGAUCGUAAGGAAGACCAGUGGCGAAGGCGAGUUUCUGGACAGUUACUGACGCUGAGGCACGAAGGCCAGGGGAGCAAACGGG
rnacentral:rRNA from 1 species